GUUGGCAAACAGCAUGCGAGUGGGACCAGCGACGAGGGAGGAAUGUGAUUGCUUGGCGGAACAUGAGGUACGGCUUCAGGAUCAGCUGCGGCAGAUGACGUUGUGACAGGAAGUCGAGGUUUUAGCUCCCGCGCUACGAUCCCCUGAAGGCAAUUCUCGGUCGGCAAGGGCCACGCUGGGUGGGCGUGCACGGGGCCGCUUGGUGAGAGUCGCGUGCGGAGUGUACACAGGCUGAAAAAGCUGUAGGCAGGCGUCGUAAUGUUUUGCGAAUUGCCGAGGGGGCAAUGCUAGUGGUGACGGGUUCGAAUUGGAGGCGUCUCACCGCCAUGACAGCAACGUCACCACCACAACAGCAAGGGUGCCCACGACAACAGCGAGGAGGCCCUCCACAGCAACAGGGCCGGCGAAUGACAGGAGAAUUUUGUAGCGCGAGUUCACUGCCCCUAGCGAGAAUCGGGGAUGACUCGAGCGUGUUUAUGUGGAGGGGCGCUGCGCGAGGGUAGGAAGGCUCAGGGCAGAGUCGCUGAGACGGGCAGCGAUGUGUAUUGUUUUUGCCCUUGGUGCGCCAUGUGGUAUCGUCGCGACGUCCUUUACGAUGGACUGGAUGCUACCAUGAGGGUAGUGGCGAAGUACUGGAAUUGAGUGAUGCGUGCUCACCAAAAGGCGUAAACGUUGAUAUCAGGUCAAAUGUAGAGACUUCGUCUACGUCUCGGGAUGCCACAGCCUAUUGAGAAAAGAGACGACACUCCGACGCUAGCAAGCUGUGACGGGUUUUCCAUCUUGUCAGACGGGCUUCGCUUUUUUCACAGUGCGGCGCCUGCAGUGCAUGUAUCAUUAUUUGAUGUUCAGGCUCAACGGGUACGCAGUUGGCAGUGGGGCGUUGAAUACGGAAUGCGAGUCCUGGAUAUGGGAGUUUUGGCGAACUGUGUGCAAGGGGGACCACCGAGCGGGCAGAAAUGUGACAGCAGUGGCAUGCACGAUACGUGAGUUUCAGGGCGGUUUGCGGGUUUGGAGGCGGUGACAGCGUACUGAUGUUGGAGGGUUGAGAGUGCGGCUGGAUAGCUGGUCAGCUUGACUGCGGACUCGUUGCCUCAGCAACGCCUUCAUCCCAUGACUCCCGAGAGCAGAACUGCGAAUGGCGUCAGCUUCUGGACGUACGCCAUCGUCACGCUACGUGUGUUAGCGUGGUCUAAAAUGACGGUUUUGCAAACGUCAGGAAUGUCGCGUCGUGGGCCAGCUCUUUGUUUUUGAUCGAGGCGGGCAACUUGCAGAUGCACGCCAUGCGUAUCACCCGUCCAAGCGGAGAACACUACUGUGCAGUUCGCAAAAAUCACGCGUUUUGUACGCCGCGAGGAGAGUUAUCUCGUCAUCUCAGAACGGACGAGACAGAGUGGGUUUCAAAACUGCAUCUGAAGUCCUUCUCGGUUCUCCUUUCUGUCCCGACCUGAAUUCUGCCUCGUUGUGCCUGACACGUUUUCGCUGCUGUGGGCCGUAGAAACGGGGGCUCCGUUGGGCCGGGGUGCCACAUGCUACUUGAAAUGUAUCGUCGUAUAGUGGAGGCGGGCCGA
rnacentral:lncRNA from 1 species